GAUGAGAGAAUAAUUUAUUGAAUGAAAAAGUUUACAGAAUUUAUUCUUUGCUUUAUUCUUCCAAGGUUUAUUGGCUCUCCAUUGACUAUCUUCUUGUUGCCAAGUUGGCAGCUGUAAGUGGCAGAUUCUAUGCACUUUUCUUUUCGUUCGCGUGUUUUUAUAUAAAUUUGUUACAUGUGCUUCUUUUUUCUAUUAUAGAGUUGUGGGUCAUAUUUUACUUCAUUUAUGUAUGUGGAACAUUGGUGUGAAGAGCAAUUUAAAACGUUAACAAUUGGAGGUCCAGAUUUCUCUCAUAAUGAAAUGUUGCCAGAUCAUAUUGAAAUUCUUGUUUCGACAGUCACUGGAAUCAAUGAACCAGAUAGCUUAUAUGGAAUUCUACAGUCUCACAAGUGUCAGGUGAAAAAUC